GCCGAGCUGGGUAACGCUAGCAUGUAACCUAAGUAGGGGCAUCAAAGUGAUGGAACAUGGCUUGGGCUAUGCUCGGUUGGGCUAGUAGAUGCAUAAUGCUGGCCUGCCCACUCCAAGUUAAGAGUUGGGUCCUGGGACUCAGGCGAAGGCUCGGGUCUCCUGGCUCCUAAACUGGAGGGCACAGCGUGAGGCUGGCUUCACAGAGCAGCGAUCACCUCCGGCUCUUAACAGUGGAGGGAUAACAGGCUGCAGCACUUCUGGCCCACCAUGACCGGGUGUAUCAAGCUCCUGAACCAUCAUUUUU
rfam:Glycine soja cultivar W05 scaffold2837_82, whole genome shotgun sequence.